CAGCAGCCGCGGUAAUACGGAGGGUGCAAGCGUUAAUCGGAAUUACUGGGCGUAAAGCGCACGCAGGCGGUCUGUCAAGUCAGAUGUGAAAUCCCCGGGCUUAACCUGGGAACUGCAUUUGAAACUGGCAGGCUAGAGUCUUGUAGAGGGGGGUAGAAUUCCAGGUGUAGCGGUGAAAUGCGUAGAGAUCUGGAGGAAUACCGGUGGCGAAGGCGGCCCCCUGGACAAAGACUGACGCUCAGGUGCGAAAGCGUGGGGAGCAAACAGGAUUAGAUACCCGUGUAGUCCCUGUCUCUUAUAC
rnacentral:rRNA from 1 species